rnacentral:rRNA from 1 species
CAUGCAGUCGAGCGGAGAUGAGGUGCUUGCACCUUAUCUUAGCGGCGGACGGGUGAGUAAUGCUUAGGAAUCUGCCUAUUAGUGGGGGACAACAUUCCGAAAGGAAUGCUAAUACCGCAUACGCCCUACGGGGGAAAGCAGGGGAUCUUCGGACCUUGCGCUAAUAGAUGAGCCUAAGUCGGAUUAGCUAGUUGGUGGGGUAAAGGCCUACCAAGGCGACGAUCUGUAGCGGGUCUGAGAGGAUGAUCCGCCACACUGGGACUGAGACACGGCCCAGACUCCUACGGGAGGCAGCAGUGGGGAAUAUUGGACAAUGGGCGGAAGCCUGAUCCAGCCAUGCCGCGUGUGUGAAGAAGGCCUUUUGGUUGUAAAGCACUUUAAGCGAGGAGGAGGCUACUUAGAUUAAUACUCUAGGAUAGUGGACGUUACUCGCAGAAUAAGCACCGGCUAACUCUGUGCCAGCAGCCGCGGUAAUACAGAGGGUGCGAGCGUUAAUCGGAUUUACUGGGCGUAAAGCGUGCGUAGGCGGCUGAUUAAGUCGGAUGUGAAAUCCCUGAGCUUAACUUAGGAGUUGCAUUCGAUACUGGUCAGCUAGAGUAUGGGAGAGGAUGGUAGAAUUCCAGGUGUAGCGGUGAAAUGCGUAGAGAUCUGGAGGAAUACCGAUGGCGAAGCAGCCAUCUGGCCUAAUACUGACGCUGAGGUACGAAAGCAUGGGGAGCAAACAGGAUUA